UCCCUGGUGGUUCAGUAGUAAGUACUCUGUGCUUUCACUGCCAAGGACCCAGGUUCAAUUCCUGGUCAGGGAA
rnacentral:tRNA from 1 species